GCGCCCCUACGGGGCGCAGCAGUCGGGAAUAUUGCGCAAUGGAGGAAACUCUGACGCAGUGACGCCGCGUAUAGGAAGAAGGUUUUCGGAUUGUAAACUAUUGUCGUUAGGGAAGAUAAAAGACUGUACCUAAGGAGGAAGCCCCGGCUAACUAUGUGCCAGCAGCCGCGGUAAUACGGAGGAUGCGAGCGUUAUCCGGAUUUAUUGGGUUUAAAGGGUGCGCAGGCGGUCUGUUAAGUCAGCGGUCAAAGCCCGGGGCUCAACCCCGGCCCGCCGUUGAAACUGGCCGGCUCGAGUUGGAGAGA
rnacentral:rRNA from 1 species